ensembl:snoRNA SNORA70 Small nucleolar RNA SNORA70
GCGCAGCCAGUUAAGCUGACUGGCCUGCCUGCCAUGGGGGCCUGGUGUGCAAUGGCUGCGCACAGCACCCCCCUGGUUGUGUAUGUGCUCUGUACGGAGCGCCCUAAGGGACCGCGGGGACAUGG